ACAUCUGCUACCCACUGAUCACUAAGGCUGAUUCUGCUGAUCUGGCUGUCUAGGCAGGUGU
rnacentral:snRNA from 1 species